GCCCAAGUGCUGAAAUUGGUAGACAGGCACGGUUGAGGGCCGUGUGUCCUACGGACGUGCGGGUUCAAGUCCCGCCUUGGGCACGA
rnacentral:tRNA from 1 species